rnacentral:lncRNA from 1 species
CGAUUAAUCCAACACUUGGAAGAAAACAUCCGGCGAAAUCAAUCAAAACAACCCAGAAAAUCGAUCUAAACUAAUUGACGAAUCCCUAAGAGAGGCAAACAUGAAGAGGACACUAUCAGGGCCGGCUUUGAGGAGCAGUGGAGGGGAUUUGCGAUGGAGAAUUCCAGAAAUCGUGGUAGAUUGGGUUGAAACAACCAGCCGUGAA